AUCUUCCCAGAAUCCUCUCCCUUCCCUACAUGGUCAAUAUUCAGUUCUAAUGCUGCAACGGCCGCUAUCACCGUGUACUGUCUCCUAUUGAGAUAAGGAAGCCAGGAACAUACUCACCACAGUGGCCACUCGGAGUCUUCGGAGCCUACCCGGAUACACGAAAGGACGAGUCGAUCGGGAGGUGUUUAACUUUUUCUAACCAAAAAGCCAUAAGGCUUGUCCCUGGAUGGAAGUUCAAGAGGAUGGUGACCAGAAGGCCCACAGAUGGGGAGUCAACAUUCGGUUUUCUGAAGGAAUAUGAUCAAGUGGAAGGUGUCGCAUGCCACGUCUGCAAAAGAUUUGUCAAUGGCCGUUGUUUGGAGAGUAAGGAUAGCUGUGUGAAGGAAGUACCAUCU
rnacentral:lncRNA from 1 species